UUCUGUAGGUUGUCUUUUUGUUUUGCUUAUGGUUUCCUUCGCUGUGCAGAAGCUUAACAGUUUAAUCAGGUCCCAUUUGUUUAUUUUUGCUUUUAUUUCUAUUGCCUGGGUAGACAGCCCUAGGAGAACAGGGCUAAGAUUUACAUCAAAGAAUGUUUUGCCUCUGUUUUCUUCUAGGAGAUUUCUUAUGUCUUGUCUCAUAUUUAAGUCUUAAAGCUAUUCUGAGUUUAUUUUUGUGUAUGGAGUGAGGGAGUGUUCUAGCUUCUCUGACUUACAUGCUGCUGUCCAGUUUUCCCAGCACCACGUGCUGAAGAGACUGUCUUUUCUCCACUGUAUCUUCUUGCCACCUUUGUUGAAGGUUAACUGACCAGAGGUCUGUGGGUUUAUUUCUGGGUGCUGUAUCCUGUCCCACUGACCCCAUUAUGUCUGUUUUAUGCCAGUGCCACCCUGUCUUGAUGACUGUAGCUCUGUAGCACUGUCUGAAGUCUGGGAGGGUUACUCCUCCAGCUUUGUUCUUUUUCUUCAGUAUUGCUUUGGCCGUUCUGGGUCUUUCGUGUUUCCAUAUAAAUUUUAGGAUUGUUGGUUCUAGUCCUGUGAACAAUGACCUGGGUGAUUUGCUAGGGGAUCGCACUGAAUCUGUAGAUUGCCUUGGGAUACGGCCAUUUUAAUGAUAUUGAUUCUUCCAAUCCAAGAGCAUGGGCUGUCUCCAUUUCUGAGUCAUCUAUAAUUUCCUUAACCAGUGUUUUGUAGUUCUCCAUGUAUAAGUCUUUCACCUCCUGGUUCACAUUUAUUCCUGAGUAUUUUGCUGUUUUGGAUGUGAUUUUAAAAGAUAUUGUUUCUUUACUUUCUUUUCCUGCUCAUUCAGUUGUCAUUGUCAAGAAAUGCGAGUGAUUUCUGCACGUGACUCUUGUGUCCUGCUACCUUGCCAAAUUUUUUACCAGCGCUAGUGGCUUUUGUGUGGCACCUCUGGGGUUUUCUAUAUAUAGGAUCACGUCAUCUUCAUGUAGUGACAGUUUUACCUCUUCUCUUUCAAUUUGGAUGCUUUUUAUGUCUUUUUCUGGUCUGACUGCUGUGGCUGGGACGUCCAGUCCUGUACUGGAUACAAGUGGUGGCAGUGGGCAUCCUGGUCCUGUUCCAAUUUCAGCAGGAAGGCUUUCGGCUUUCAUCGUGGAGCACUGUGCUGGCCGUAGGUUUGUCAUAAGUAGCUUCUGUUAUGUUGAGAUAUGAUCCCGCUAUGCCCACUUUGGUGAGCGUUUUUUUUUUACAUCACGAGUGGGUGCCUAAUUUUAUCAGACGCUCUGCAGGUAUUGAGAUGAUCGUGUGAUUCUCGUGCUGGGUCUUGCGGAUGCGACGUACCACACUGACUGAUUUGCGUGUGGUGAGCCGUCCUUGUGCCCCUGGGAGGGGCCCGGCCUGACUGUGCUGUGUGCCCUUUCUGUGCUACUGGUGCUGCUGAGGCUGUUGAGGGCGUCUGCAUCCGUGCUCAUCGCAGAUGUGGUUUCCUUUCUGGGUGGAGCCUUUGGCAUUUGGCGUCAGGGUGACGGUGGCUUCAUAGAGUGAGUCUGGGAGUGUGCCCUCCCCUUCAGUCCUCUGGGAGAGCUUGAGAAGGACUGGCACUAGUUCUCUGCAUGGUGGGUAGAAUUCCCUAGGGAAGCCAUCUGGUCCCGGACUGUUGUUUGCAGGGAGGCUUUUUCUUGCUGAUUCUAUUUCACUUCUAGUGACUGGACUGUUCAAGUGAUCUUAUUUCUUCUUGAUUUGGUUUCGGUGGACUGUGUGUUUCUAGAAACGUGUCCAUUUCUUGUAAGUCGUCCCAUUUAUUGCUAUAGUUGUUCAUGGCAUUCUCAGGGUUUUUUGUGUUUCUGUGGUGUUGGUUGUAAUUUUUCCAUUUUCACUUCUUACUUUAUUGAUCUGUGUCUUCUCUCUUUUCUUCUUGGCGAGCCUGGCCAGAGGUUUGUCCAUUUUGUUUACUUGCUCAAAAAAACAGCUCUUGGUUUAUUUUUUUUAAAUCUCUAUUUUACUUAUUUCCUAGUUGGGGCUUUAAUGGUUACAAUGGCUGGUGAGAGUUCACAGGGAAAAGGCAGGCGGUGGGGGAGUGAGCGCACCCCGCGCGGUGCCGAGGGGCUUUCUGGGCUAGAUUCCUCCCUGGGAUCUGUGCUUGUGUUUCGCGCUGUGCAGAGAAGUUCCUUCGGGCAGGAGUUGGCAACUAAAACCUGUGAGCUGGGAUUAGCUUCUCCAUUUUUAAAAGAGUUGUCAGUAAACCCCUCCGCGCAGACAAGUCUGCACCAGAGACAGUUAGAGGCCGGAGAAAUACUUAGUGGCUGGCCCUUCACAGGAGAAGUUUCCAUAAAGCCAGCCCCCUUCUUAAAAAUCCCAGUGUGUCUUUCCACUGACGUACUACCCCCGCCAUUUCUCACUGGUGCCACUUCCAUUUCCCACAUACGGAAUCUCAGUUAUUUGAGACUUCUAUCCCCUCCCUGUCACUGCAGCCAUUUGGAAGCCGAGUCUUGCUCUAAAGGGUCUCAAGGUCAAUCCUGUGUCUCCUCACUCCCACCACCUCAGUCUGUUUCAGGCGCUUACUGACGCGGCCCCCACACCGCACACGUCCUCCUCCACCGAGCGGGACAGCCCGUGCGGGGCGUGACUUCCCAGGCUGUCAGGGAGACCUGCUUGGGGGCCAGCUGGCUGCCCUGUCUUGGAAGUUGAGCCUCCGGUCCCAGUGAGGCCUCCAACUGACGCCACCACAGCAAAGACCCAGGCCAGAACCAGACCCGCCCAGCGACGGCGCUCCCGACCUCCUGACGCCCGGGAGCUCGCAAGGCAGGGCACGGUUACUGAUACUGCUGUUAUGAGCUGAUACUCCCCCAUGUGCUAACUCCAGGCACCUCUGAACCGGUCUCCUUUCUUUCUGCUCCACUUACUGUCCAAUUACUCAAAAAAAAAAAAAUCCUGUCGUAAAUCCCCUUGAUUAAAGAGCUAGCGAGGCUCCUCAUUAGUUUUUGGAGGAAGUCAGAACCGAGGCCUCGGCCUGGUCCAGCCGAGCCUGACGCAAGUGGCGUCAGGCUGCACUCUGGGGAAUGCUGGGCUCCCACGCUGAAAUCCGGUUCCUUGAAGGUGUUCUUCACUGACACCAGCUCGUGACUUACUGUAAAUUCCUUGAGAUUUAUAUUGCUUUGGACUAUUUCUUUUAACUGUUGAGAUCAGCAUUUGGCCAGUGAGAGUUCUUCAUGAGCUAAUACGAGACGUGUACUUUGCGUGCACAGCUCUGCCUGACCCCGAGCGCCAGGUGGCUUGAGGGCUGUAUUCAGAAUCGCAGCCCUCGGGGGGAGAAGCAGGUGGGCGCUCAGCAGGGUCCCGGGCACAGCACAGGCAGUGGCGUCCUCAGCUGUGCUGCUGGGCUUGCGGUCUGACCUUGGGCAGGGAUCACCUUGCUGUUCUACUUCUUCACUGUAACGGGGGGUCUGGAUGGCACUACUUCAUAGCUGAGUAUCACAGGAGACCGUGUGGCUGACGGUGCUUUGCACGGUGGGUGCCUGACACCCGCAGGCCCAGGCUGGGCCUUCAUGGUGGCAGACGCCCCACUCCCUUGUCCCCCGCCGCUCGUUUAUAGAAAAGCGUUAGUCUCCCCCAAGUUCCAGAGGGCAGAUUUAAUCAGAGAAAGGAGAAAUGCAGAAACAGGGAAACAGUCAAGCAAAUAACAGUUUAGCCGUGAAAAUAAAUUGAAGGACCUUUCGUUCCUCCGCAGGGGCUACAGAUCACAUCCUAAGCCACAUCCUUGAGCUUUUCUGCAGAUGUGAAACCCCCACCAGGUGAAGUUGGCCGCGUGCCGCCAGUCAGCACGUAGACCCCAGACGGGUUGGAUCCGGUGGCUGAUGUGGCCUCCCCCCAGUUAGUCACCCCUCACAAUCCAGGGGUGUCCACGAGCUGAUCAGGCCCUCUGCAAGCUUCACACCUAAUGCUGCCUUUAAAAACCCUUGUCUGAAAGCCUCUGGGGAGUUGGGUUAUUUUGAGAAAUAGCUGCCCAUUCUCCUUGGUUGGCCUGUGGUGGGCGCCUGCAGUAGAUGCUGCACCUUCCUUCCCCACAACCCGAGGUCAGUGGGUUGGCUUUAUUCUCAUCGGGUGAGUGGACCCAAGCUAGUCGGGGGCAACUCUGAUGACCCAGAUGGGCCUCCCACCCCGAGGGGACAUCUUGCCUGUGGGCCCCGUCUCAGGGGCAGCCCCAGUGCUUACCACUGACUGGAAGCCUCUGGCCCUGGUCUGGCCCGGCCUGGCCUGUGAGGCAACUCUGGUACGUGGUGGGCCCUCCCGUGUGCCUGCCCCGGAGUAUUCUUCCCUGAUGGCUGGUCUGAUUGGAGUUUUCCUUUUUGGCGGGAAAGACAUCAAACUUGUCAUCUGGUUUUAAGUGGGAUGUCACUUUAACAAGAUUUUCCCUUCCGGGUCCAGGAGGACCUCGCUCAUCCAGACAGGCCAAGCAGUCCCUGGAGAGCUCCGUCAGACGCCCACCUGGAAUGGCAGGUAAGAAACUGCAGGUGAGACAGCGCCUGCCUGGCUCUGGUCUGGUACUGGUAGCGCCGGCCAUAUGCAAGGGAAGCAGGGAGCCGGAGCCUGUUCCAGCUGCUGGGCCCCUGGGGUGUAUUGUGCAGAAUUGGCAGACCUUUAGUUCUGCUCCUAUGAAGAGAAAGAAGACUGUGUUUCUGAGACAGUGUGGCCACAAUGUUCUUUAGACUCUGCAGAAAAAUUCCAAAACUGGUUCUUUUUAUUGCUCAGUUAGAUAAAAGAUUUUUUUUCAAAAUUCUGACCCAGAGAGAACAAAGGUAUUUCUAGGAGAAAGCUUGAACUUAUAACUCUUAUGUCCUCAGAAUGCAGACACAGCCCACAAGGCCUGAGACUCCAGCCUUGGGUCAGUUACUUUAUAGAACCUGAAACUGAAAGACAAAAAGGGAAAGGAGACUUUAAAUUCAAGGGCGUAAACUAAACUUAUUCCAUGUUAUUUAUAAUAAACAAAACUUACUUAUGAAUCAGACAUUGUAAGACUCAUUAAUUUAUAAUGUCUGAUUCAUGACUAAGCUGUUCGUUUUGGGGGGAGGUAAUGAAGUCUAUUUACUAAUUAGUUUUGUUUUUUUAAUGGCGAGAAUGAACCCAGGACCCCGUGCCUGCUAAGCGCACACUCUACCACUAAACUGUACCCUCUCCCCUGACUGAGAUUUAAAGUGAAGCUAUGAGGGCUGUGAUUCGGUGGAUAUGUAAAACUGCAUUUAUAAUUACUGUUUCUCUCUGCUGUUUUUGCAAAAACGCUUCAUCUUCAAGAAGAUUCACAGAAGGGAUUUUUUGACAAGCACAGGUUUCGGGUAACUUUCAGGUCGUACUGCUGAACUGGUGAAAAAUUGAAGAAUCCUAAUCGAAACCCUGAUGAGCUCACAAACUGUUUACCAGAUGUCUCUCUCCUUAUCAAAAUGGAAAGAGAAGUCUCUAACAAGGCCGUCACAGAGCACAACCACUCGAGACAUGCAUCACUGCUGGCGUCUGCUGCUAGAAGGACGUGUACAGCGUUCGUGCGACAAUUCAGUACAGGUGAUAAAAAUGCGCAGCCUGUUUCCCCA